UACAGAGGUCUCAAGCGUUGUUCGGAUUCAUUGGGCGUAAAGGGUGCGUAGGCGGCGCGGUAAGUCGGGGUGUGAAAUCUCGGAGCUUAACUCCGAAACUGCAUUCGAUACUGCCGUGCUUGAGGACUGGAGAGGAGACUGGAAUUUACGGUGUAGCGGUGAAAUGCGUAGAUAUCGUAAGGAAGACCAGUGGCGAAGGCGGCCCUCUGGCUCGACCCUGACGCUGAGGCGCGAAAGCGUGGGGAGCGAACGGGG
rnacentral:rRNA from 1 species